rnacentral:lncRNA from 1 species
UCGUAGUCUUAUAAGGGAGCUACCAUUUGAUUUUUAUGGGGGGGCUAGGAUGAAAUUUGAAAAAAAUAGGCAGGACAGGAGUUUUGAGUAAAAAAAAGGCAGGAUGAGACACUUGCAAAAAAAAAAAAGUCAGGACGACAAUUUAGGUAAAAAAAAGUCAGGAUAAACUAAAAAAAAAAAAGGCAGGACCGAACAGAGUGAAAAAUAAAAAGGCAGGACAGAGAUUACAGCUAAAAAAAAAUGCAGGACAAAAUUUUUCAUCCUAGCCCCCCCAUAAAAAUCAAAUGGUAGCUCCCUAAGUUUGAGUA